rnacentral:siRNA from 1 species
GUAAUUGGGCAUGCUCAUAUGGU